AUUCAACGCUGGCGGCAGGCCUAACACAUGCAAGUCGAACGAGUGGCGGACGGGUGAGUAAUGUCUGGGAAACUGCCUGAUGGAGGGGGCUAACUACGGGAAACGGUAGCUAAUACCGCAUAACAUCAGAUGUGCCCUGAUGGGAUUAGCUAGUUGGUGGGGUAACGGCUCACCAAGGCGACGAUGCCUAGCUGGUCGGAGAGGAUGACCGGCCACACGGGAACUGAGACACGGUCCAGACUCCUACGGGAGGCAGCAGUGGGGAAUAUUGCGCAAUGGGCGAAAGCCUGAUGCAGCCAUGCCGCGUGUAUGAAGAAGGCCUUCGGGUUGUAAAGUACUUUCGGCGGGGAGGCGUUACCCGCACAGGAAGCACCGGCUAACUCCGUGCCAGCAGCCGCGGUAAUUC
rnacentral:rRNA from 1 species